GAAUCUGGAGACAGGUGCUGCAUGGCUGUCGUCAGCUCGUGUCGUGAGAUGUUGGGUUAAGUCCCGCAACGAGCGCAACCCUGCCUUAGUUGCCAGCAGUCGGCUGGGCACUCUAAAGGGACUGCCGGUGUUAAACCGGAGGAAGUGGGGAUGACGUCAAGUCCUCAUGGCCUUUAUGACCAGGGCUACACACGUACUACAAUGGCCGAUACAAAGGGCAGCGACACUGCGAGGUGAAGCCAAUCCCGUAAAAUCGGUCUCAGUCCGGAUUGGAGUCUGCAACUCGACUCCAUGAAGUUGGAAUCGCUAGUAAUCGUGGAUCAGCAUGCCACGGUGAAUACGUUCCCGGGCCUU
rnacentral:rRNA from 1 species